rnacentral:rRNA from 1 species
GUGGGGAAUCUUGCGCAAUGGGCGAAAGCCUGACGCAGCCAUGCCGCGUGUAUGAUGAAGGUCUUAGGAUUGUAAAAUUCUUUCACCGGGGACGAUAAUGACGGUACCCGGAGAAGAAGCUCCGGCUAACUUCGUGCCAGCAGCCGCGGUAAUACGAAGGGGGCUAGCGUUGCUCGGAAUUACUGGGCGUAAAGGGCGCGUAGGCGGACAGCUUAGUCAGAGGUGAAAGCCCAGGGCUCAACCUUGGAAUUGCCUUUGAUACUGGCUGUCUUGAGUUUGGGAGAGGUGAGUGGAACUCCGAGUGUAGAGGUGAAAUUCGUAGAUAUUCGGAAGAACACCAGUGGCGAAGGCGACUCACUGGCCCAAUACUGACGCUGAGGCGCGAAAGCGUGGGGAGCAAACAGGAUUAGAAACCCUAGUAGUCC